UAGGGAAUCUUCGGCAAUGGGGGGAACCCUGACCGAGCAACGCCGCGGGAGUGAAGAAGGGUUUCGGAUCGUAAAGCUCUGUUGUUAAGGAAGAACGAGUGUGAGAAUGGAAAGUUCAUGCUGUGACGGUACCUAACCAGAAAGCCACGGCUAACUACGUGCCAGCAGCCGCGGUAAUACGUAGGUGGCAAGCGUUGUCCGGAAUUAUUGGGCGUAAAGCGCGCGCAGGUGGUUUAGAAAGUCUGAUGUGAAAGCCCACGGCUCAACCGUGGGGGGUCAUUGGAAACUAAUAAACUUGAGUGCAGGAGAGAAAAGUGGAAUUCCUAGUGUAGCGAUGAAAUGCGUAGAGAUUAGGAGGAACACCGGUGGCGAAAGCGGCUUUUUGGCCUGCAACUGACACUGAGGCGCGAAAGCGUGGGGAGCAAACAGG
rnacentral:rRNA from 1 species